CGAUAAUGCGGGUGAAAAACCCGCACGCCGGAAGACCAAGGGUUCCUAUCCCAUGUUAAUCAGGGUAGGGUAAGUCGACCCCUAAGGCGAGGCCGAAAGGCGUAGUCGAUGGGAAACGGAUUAAUAUUUCCGUACUUGGUAUAAUUGCGAUGGGGGGACGGAGAAGGCUAAGCAAGCAUGGCGAUGGUUGUCCAUGUGAAAGUGAGUAGGCUAGUGACUUAGGUAAAUCCGGGUUGCUGUUAGGCUGAGACACGAGACGAGCACCCAAGGGUGUGAAGUUGCUGAUGCCAUACUUCCAGGAAAAGCCUCUAAGCUUCAGAUUAUACCGAAUCGUACCCCAAACCGACACAGGUGGUCAGGUAGAGAAUACUAAGGCGCUUGAGAGAACUCGGGUGAAGGAACUAGGCAAAAUCGUA
rnacentral:rRNA from 1 species